rnacentral:rRNA from 1 species
GAUGAACGCUAGCGGCAGGCCUAAUACAUGCGAGUCGAACGGGAUUGAGGAGCUUGCUCCUCAUGAGAGUGGCGCACGGGUGCGUAACACGUAUGUAACCUACCUUAAUCAGGGGGAUAGCCUCUCGAAAGAGAGAUUAACACCGCAUAAAAUCACACUAUGGCAUCAUAGAAUGAUCAAAUAUUUAUAGGGUUAAGAUGGGCAUGCGGAACAUUAGCUAGUUGGUAAGGUAACGGCUUACCAAGGCUACGAUGUUUAGGGGAUCUGAGAGGAUGGCCCCCCAAACUGGUACUGGGACACGGACCAGACUCCUACGGGAGGCAGCAGUAAGGAAUAUUGGUCAAUGGACGGAAGUCUGAACCAGCCAUGCCGCGUGCAGGAAGACGGCCCUACGGGUUGUAAACUGCUUUUGUACCGGGAUAAACCUCUUACGUGUAAGGAGCUGAAUGUACGGUAAGAAUAAGGAUCGGCUAACUCCGUGCCAGCAGCCGCCGUAA